rnacentral:rRNA from 1 species
ACGUAGGGGGCAAGCGUUGUCCGGAUUCACUGGGUGUAAAGGGCGCGUAGGUGGAUUUGUAAGUCAGAGGUGAAAUCCUGCAGCUUAACUGUAGAACUGCCUCUGAUACUGUUAAUCUUGAGUUCAGAAGAGAGAAGCGGAAUUCCAGGUGUAGUAGUGAAAUACGUAGAUAUCUGGAAGAACACCAGUGGCGAAGGCGGCUUCUUGGUCUGUAACUGACACUGAGGCGCGAAAGCGUGGGGAGCAAACAG